rnacentral:tRNA from 1 species
CUGCUCAUAGUUAAACGGAUAUAACGGAGCCCUCCUAAGGCUCAAUUCGGGGUUCGAUUCCCUGUGGGCAGACCA